UGGGACCAAAACACAAUAAGCACUCAUUUUAUAAUCGAAAAGGAUACUUUAGUUUAAAUGCUCUUGUUGUUUGUGACCAAAAAAUGAGGUUUCGAUUUAUUGAUGCGUCGCAUCCUGGAGCUUGUCACGACUCUUUAGUGUGGAACGUUUCGGAACUAAAGAGACAUAUUUGCAAUAAUCGCAGCAACUUUUGGAUGUUAGGCGACGCAGGAUAUCCUCUGGAAUCCUUCUUAUUAACACCUUAUAGGACACCUGA